rnacentral:rRNA from 2 species
CGAAGGUUGGCUAAUCCUGGUCGGACAUCAGGAGGUUAGUGCAAUGGCAUAAGCCAGCUUGACUGCGAGCGUGACGGCGCGAGCAGGUGCGAAAGCAGGUCAUAGUGAUCCGGUGGUUCUGAAUGGAAGGGCCAUCGCUCAACGGAUAAAAGGUACUCCGGGGAUAACAGGCUGAUACCGCCCAAGAGUUCAUAUCGACGGCGGUGUUUGGCACCUCGAUGUCGGCUCAUCACAUCCUGGGGCUGAAGUAGGUCCCAAGGGUAUGGCUGUUCGCCAUUUAAAGUGGUACGCGAGCUGGGUUUAGAACGUCGUGAGACAGUUCGGUCCCUAUCUGCCGUGGGCGCUGGAGAACUGAGGGGGGCUGCUCCUAGUACGAGAGGACCGGAGUGGACGCAUCACUGGUGUUCGGGUUGUCAUGCCAAUGGCACUGCCCGGUAGCUAAAUGCGGAAGAGAUAAGUGCUGAAAGCAUCUAAGCACGAAACUUGCCCCGAGAUGAGUUCUCCCUGACCCUUUAAGGGUCCUGAAGGAACGUUGAAGACGACGACGUUGAUAGGCCGGGUGUGUAAGCGCAGCGAUGCGUUGAGCUAACCGGUACUAAUGAACCGUGAGGCUUAACCUUACAACGCCGAAGGUGUUU